UCAAUGCAUUGAAAGUGACU
rnacentral:sRNA from 1 species